rnacentral:rRNA from 1 species
CACUCUAGCGAGACUGCCGGUAUAACCGAGGAAGUGGGGAUGACGUCAAAUCAUCAUGCCCCUUAUGACCUGGGCUACACACGUGCUACAAUGGUUGGUACAACGAGUUGCGAGUCGGUGACGGCGAGCUAAUCUCUUAAAGCCCAAUCUCAGUUCGGAUUGUAGGCUGCAACUCGCCUACAUGAAGUUCGGAAUCGCUAGUAAUCGCGGAUCAGCACGCCGCGGUGAAUACGUUCCCGGGCCCUU